rnacentral:lncRNA from 10 species
AAGAAAGCAGCAAAGGUUCAAAAGCUGUCUAAGAAUGAAGUGCUCAUGGUGAACAUAGGAUCCCUGUCAACAGGAGGGAGAGUUAGUGCUGUCAAGGCCGAUUUGGGUAAAAUUGUUUUGACCAAUCCAGUGUGCACAGAGGUAGGAGAAAAAAUUGCCCUUAGCCGAAGAGUUGAAAAACACUGGCGGUAAGUUUGUUAGUCUUUGCCACUGUCUAAUUAAAAAAAGACACAGUCUUGUACAGAAAAAAAAGCACACAAUCUUCCUUGAGGACAACAGUUACUGUGGCUUUCAGUCUCAACUAUUUAUUUGGAUGACUUUGAAAACUAUACUUCGGCCGGGUGCGGUGGCUCACGCCUGUAAUCCCAGCACUUUGGGAGGCCUAGGCGGGUGGAUCAUGAGGUCAGGAGAUCAAGACCAUCCUGGCUAACAUGGUGAAACCCCGUCUCUACU